AGCACCGUAGCACAGUUGGAAGUGCGCCGGUCUCAUAUAAAAUUGAGGAAUCCGGAGGUCGCUUGAUCGAGACAAGCCGUUGCUA